UUUUAGCUUGAAUUGAUCAAUCUGGCCUUAGCCUGGGAACCCCAAAGCCUACACCCACAGACCCUAAUAAAGGCAUCUUGAAACUCUGCC